rnacentral:rRNA from 1 species
GAUGAACGCUGGCGGCGUGCCUAAUACAUGCAAGUCGAGCGAACAGACGAGGAGCUUGCUCCUCUGACGUUAGCGGCGGACGGGUGAGUAACACGUGGAUAACCUACCUAUAAGACUGGGAUAACUUCGGGAAACCGGAGCUAAUACCGGAUAAUAUAUUGAACCGCAUGGUUCAAUAGUGAAAGACGGUUUUGCUGUCACUUAUAGAUGGAUCCGCGCCGCAUUAGCUAGUUGGUAAGGUAACGGCUUACCAAGGCAACGAUGCGUAGCCGACCUGAGAGGGUGAUCGGCCACACUGGAACUGAGACACGGUCCAGACUCCUACGGGAGGCAGCAGUAGGGAAUCUUCCGCAAUGGGCGAAAGCCUGACGGAGCAACGCCGCGUGAGUGAUGAAGGUCUUCGGAUCGUAAAACUCUGUUAUUAGGGAAGAACAAAUGUGUAAGUAACUAUGCACGUCUUGACGGUACCUAAUCAGAAGCCACGGCUAAUUACGUG